AACGAACGCUGGCGGCAGGCCUAACACAUGCAAGUCGAGCGAGGACUUCGGUCCUAGCGGCGGACGGGUGAGUAACGCGUGGGAACGUGCCCCCUUUCUACGGAAUAGCCCCGGGAAACUGGGAGUAAUACCGUAUAAGCCCUACGGGGGAAAGAUUUAUCGGGAAGGGAUCGGCCCGCGUUGGAUUAGGUAGUUGGUGGGGUAAUGGCCUACCAAGCCGACGAUCCAUAGCUGGUUUGAGAGGAUGAUCAGCCACACUGGGACUGAGACACGGCCCAGACUCCUACGGGAGGCAGCAGUGGGGAAUCUUAGACAAUGGGCGCAAGCCUGAUCUAGCCAUGCCGCGUGAGCGAUGAAGGCCUUAGGGUUGUAAAGCUCUUUCAGGGGGGAAGAUAAUGACUGUACCCCACGAAGAAGCCCGGCUAACUCCGUG
rnacentral:rRNA from 1 species